rnacentral:lncRNA from 1 species
AUGGUAGACAAAACAUCUCCACCCACAGGCCCUCUCCACCCCCAGAUUAGAAGGAACACCCAUGAAAACUGUGCGGUCAUUUUGCUCAUGAUGGAGAGUAUCUGUUGUGCCCUUGCCUUGGAUCUGUAUGUUCUUUUAGGCAGACUAAGGACGGUGAAGUUCCCUGGAAGGAGGGCAAAGGAGAGGGUUUUGUCUCAAGCCAAAACACCAUCUCAGGGGGAGAUGUUCCAGCAACACAAACAUUUGGCUGGCAAGACAGUGGUGGACAGAUGGUAAAGAUGGGGUGCAGCCCAAAGCCCGACAGAGCCUGCCAGGCAUCGUAUCAGCCACCAUGAACACAAAGGUGCGUGAAGUCACCCUGUGGGGAAGAAACCGUUUCCCAAGAGAACUGCAAGACAAGCUGCUGGAUUUUUUUUUGUCUUCAAAAGCCACCAAACUAAGCUAGCAAAACAGAUGAGAGGAAAAGACAGAGUUUAAAUUUGCAGGGAGAUCCCUUGCAUCCACAGGGGGAGCUGAAAGAAAUGUUAAGAGAGCACAGAGAGUUACAACUUGACGGAGAGGGAAAAAAGCCCAGAAUGACAAUAAAAGUUCCUCAUGCUGUGCA